rnacentral:rRNA from 1 species
UACAGAGGGGGCAAGCGUUGUUCGGAAUUACUGGGCGUAAAGGGCGCGUAGGCGGCCUGCUAAGUCGAACGUGAAAUCCCCGGGCUCAACCCGGGAACUGCGUCCGAUAUUGGCAGGCUUGAAUUCGGGAGAGGGAUGCGGAAUUCCAGGUGUAGCGGUGAAAUGCGUAGAUAUCAGGAGGAACACCGGUGGCGAAGGCGGGUCUCUGGGCAACAACUGACGCUGAGGAGCGAAAGCGUGGGGAGCGAACAGG